rnacentral:rRNA from 1 species
CAGCAGCCACGGUAAUACGUAGGGCGCAAGCGUUAUCCGGAAUUAUUGGGCGUAAAGAGCUCGUAGGCGGUUUGUCGCGUCUGCCGUGAAAGUCCGGGGCUCAACCCCGGAUCUGCGGUGGGUACGGGCAGACUAGAGUGAUGUAGGGGAGACUGGAAUUCCUGGUGUAGCGGUGAAAUGCGCAGAUAUCAGGAGGAACACCGAUGGCGAAGGCAGGUCUCUGGGCAUUAACUGACGCUGAGGAGCGAAAGCAUGGGGAGCGAACAGGAUUAGAUACCCCCGUAGUCCCUGUCUCUUAUAU